CAGACAACCAACUAGGACUGGUUAUGAUAAUAAUGGUUUAAUGUCGACAUAUGAUGGUCUAGAAGUUAGUGAAAGAAAUCCAACUGAAGGAACAUAUCAAGAAUUGAUUCAGAAUUCUACUAAUGUUGAUAAUACAGAUAGUAACAGAAUAGGAGAUCCCACCUAUAUAAAUACCAGAAUAUAGUUGGUUUCAAUUUGUUGGUAUGUGGUUGAAUGAUUGUAUACAAUAUACUGUAUACAGUUACACCACCUUUUGUGAUCACCAGUUAUUUAACUUAGUUU